GACGAACGCUGGCGGCGUGCCUAAUACAUGCAAGUCGAGCGCAGGAAACUGACGGAACUCUUCGGAGGGAAGGCAGCGGAAUGAGCGGCGGACGGGUGAGUAACACGUAAGGAACCUGCCUCAAGGAUCGGGAUAACUCCGAGAAAUCGGAGCUAAUACCGGAUAGUUCAACGGACCGCAUGGUCCGUUGAUGAAAGGCGCUUCGGCGUCACCUUGAGAUGGCCUUGCGGUGCAUUAGCUAGUUGGUGGGGUAACGGCCCGCCAAGGCGACGAUGCAUAGCCGACCUGAGAGGGUGAUCGGCCACACUGGGACUGAGACACGGCCCAGAGUCCGACGGGAGGAAGCAGUAGGGAAUCUUCCACAAUGGACGAAAGUCUGAUGGAGCAACGCCGCGUGAGUGAUGAAGGUUUUCGGAUCGUAAAACUCUGUUGUAAGGGAAGAACACGUACGAGAGGGAAUGCUCGUACCUUGACGGUACCUUACGAGAAAGCCACGGCUAACUACGUGCCAGCAGCCGCGGUAA
rnacentral:rRNA from 1 species